rnacentral:rRNA from 1 species
AGUGAACGCUGGCGGUAGGCCUAACACAUGCAAGUCGAACGGCAGCACAGUAAGAGCUUGCUCUUACGGGUGGCGAGUGGCGGACGGGUGAGGAAUACAUCGGAAUCUACUUUUUCGUGGGGGAUAACGUAGGGAAACUUACGCUAAUACCGCAUACGACCUACGGGUGAAAGCAGGGGAUCUUCGGACCUUGCGCGAUUGAAUGAGCCGAUGCCGGAUUAGCUAGUUGGCGGGGUAAAGGCCCACCAAGGCGACGAUCCGUAGCUGGUCUGAGAAGAUGAUCAGCCACACUGGAACUGAGACACGGUCCAGACUCCUACGGGAGGCAGCAGUGGGGAAUAUUGGACAAUGGGCGCAAGCCUGAUCCAGCCAUACCGCGUGGGUGAAGAAGGCCUUCGGGUUGUAAAGCCCUUUUGUUGGGAAAGAAAAGCAGCAGGUUAAUACCCCGCUGUUCUGACGGUACCCAAAGAAUAAGCACCGGCUAACUUCGUG